rnacentral:tRNA from 3 species
UGGGGCGUCGCCAAGUGGUAAGGCACUGGAUUUUGAUUCCAGCAUUCGAAGGUUCGAUCCCUUCCGCCCCAGCCA